GAUGAAGAACGUAGUGAAAUGCGAUAAGUAAUGUGAAUUGCAGAAUUCAGUGAAUCAUCGAAUCUUUGAACGCACAUUGCGCCCGCCAGUAUUCUGGCGGGCAUGCCUGUUCGAGCGUCAUUUCAACCAUCAAGCCCUGCUUGCGUUGGGGUCCUGCGGCUGCCCGCAGGCCCUGAAAACCAGUGGCGGGCUCGCUAGUCACACCGAGCGCAGUAAUACAUCUCGCUUUGGGCGUGCGGCGGGUUCUUGCCGUUAAACACCCCCUUUUUACCAAGGUUGACCUCGGAUCAGGUAGGAAUACCCGCUAAACUUAAGCAUAUCAAUAAGCGGAGGA
rnacentral:misc_RNA from 1 species